rnacentral:lncRNA from 8 species
AUGCUUGUCCUGGCAAAGGCCAGAAAACAAGACAUUCCUCAAGGCUCUCAGAUUUGUUCCAUCCCCUGUCGUCAUGUCUUAGAUCCAGCCUACCUGACCCAAUGUGAGCAGAGCAGGGGGGAUUCCUGUCACUCAGAGCUCUGUGGGCCUAUCUUCCAUCCACUAGGAUGUCCGAUCUGGGGAGUUUUCUUCAGAAGCACUGUAUAGCUUUUCAGAGAACCAGAGUUGAAUCUAUUUGGAAUUAUUCAGACUUCUUUCACUGAUGUUCAACAGUUUUACUGGUGGGGACCCUGGCAGUUGUGACUUCAAAGGCUGACCCACAGGACAUCCUAACAUAAGCAAUGGCUUCUCUCCUAAAGCUGGACUGAUCUACAGUCAGAGAGCCUGACUGUGGGAUCUCAAUUCAUGAAAGACCAACCGACCAGUUGACAUUUCAAGGAUCAAUUCCGAGUACAAAAGUGGAGUUUGGAGUAUAAACGGCACUAUUACGAAGUUCCAAUAUUCUCUGCCAUCAUGCCAGCGGUAGUAUGAAAAGUUGCAUCAUACCACGGUGGCCCUGGUUUGUAAGCACUUUAGUCUCUGUGUGAGAGUUUCUGCUUGUGGAGCUGAUUUUUUUCCUAAAUAGCAUAUUUGGUUGUAUAAAAAUAUUCUCAUGGCAAAUACUAUAUUUGUAUUUAAAAAUGAUAUUCAUAAGAUAACAGAAAUAGUGUUACUUCUCUUCUGUAUGUUUUAAUGUGAGAGGUCUAGGAAAUAUUUGAUGAUAGACUUCCCAUUUGAAAAAACAAUGAAGACACCAUACAUUGCUUUUUUGCACAAUUUGUAUCAGUAUUUAUUCUUAAUCACAAUCUAUAUAUUUCUCUUGAAACACUCAGUGCUUUUCCUGUGCAUAAGAGUAACUUUGAUUUUCAUCAAGUUGUCUAUGAUGACUACUAGGCUGUAUAUAAUAUAAUGCAUACAUUAGUAAAAUGAUAACAAUAGGUAGAUGACCCAACUUCAUCUGAACUCGCUAAAGAGGGAGGAUAAGAUCAACAUGUAGACUCGCUAAACAGAGAGGAUAAGAUCAACAUGUAGACUCGCUAAACAGAGAGGAUAAGAUCAACAUGUAGACUCGCUAAACAGAGAGGAUAAGAUCAACAUGUAGACUCGCUAAACAGAGGAUAAGAUCAACAUGUAGACUCGCUAAACAGAGAGGAUAAAAUCAACAUGUAGACUCGCUAAACAGAGAGGAUAAGAUCAACAUGUAGACUCGCUAAACAGAGAGGAUAAGAUCAACAUGUAGACUCGCUAAACAGAGAGGAUAAGAUCAACAUGUAGACUCGCUAAACAGAGAGGUUAAGAUCAACAUGUAGACUCGCUAAACAGGGAGGAAAGAGAGAUGUUCUAGUGUCACUAAAUCCGUGUCCAUCUAUUUAAGUGUCUUUAUUCUUCCAUCCAUCUAGCUUUCUACCACAUCCCUCUUUUCAACUUUUCUGACUACUAUAAGAUAAUUUAUUAUAGAUAAACAUUCUGUCCUACCAUUGAUUUUAGUGGUGGUUAAGGGGAAAGUAAGGUUUGAUUUCAGGACAGACAAAGAGCCUCCAUUUGUUUCAGAGACAGGUCAAAUCCCAUAUUGGGAUUAUAUCGGUUUUAUACAAACUCCAGAGGGUGCGGACAUGGAAUGAUGAUGUAGGAGAUGGGUGCAAUAACCCCCACCCUCUUUCUCAAUGAUCUGAGCAGGUUCAUAUGAUUUUGUUAGACAUCAAACUGGUCGGACACAUCAAUGGGAGACACAAGUUGCUUUAAAAUGUCACCUGCAUCAAGAACUGUCUACCAAUGUGUGAACUUCACACAUUACCCAAAUGCAAAAAAAAUUAAAAGAUCAGUAUACCUGGCCGCCUAACAGCUGUUGUCACACCACCAUUUUAGUGGUUUUCAAAACGUUGUAAAAAGAUGUGACUGAAAACUGAGCUGUGUUUGUUGGAGGCAGCUGCUGACAUGCUCCGCAGAUAAUAUGGGAUUUCUUGGAAUCCAUUAGAAUCUGAAGAAACAUCAAUUCACUUCCUUUGACUGUGGAGGACACAUCCACAUGGAAAACAGCCCAGGUCUUGCCAAUCUUCCUUUUGAACUGAUAAUACUAUACUGUGCAAUAUUACAGUUGUGAGAAUUCACAAGGGUGCAAUACAUCAAUGACCAUUGGAAUGUAGAAAGUAAGUGUAUCAUAGGCUGCAUCAUGGUAAGUGACACCUGUAGCUAUAACUACAAGAGGAAAAUAUAUGGUGGCGUAUAAAUGAAAUUGCACUAAGAAUGAUCAUUGUACUAGAUUUAGCAGUAUUCAUUUAGAAUUAUUUUUUAUCAGUGUUUUCUUUAUUACUGAAAUAUGAGUGUUUCUCUGAUUUGCUAGGAGUGAUACUUUCAUUCAAUUGCUAUUGUAUAUAUAAUUUUUUUAUUCAUUUGCACUGGUAAAGAUGGGAUGUUUGAAAUAUACAUAAUGGUUGUCAGGAUUGCAGACUCAUCAACAUGUUUGUUUUCUGAGGAAUCAUCUGCUGUAACAAAAAUAAAUCCAUGGUCAUAAUGCGUCAUUGUCUAUGGCUUUGCAAUGGCAAUGUUGUAUAUGGGUAGAACUGGACAAAAGUCUAAAUGAAACAAAACAUUUAUUCUAUGUAUGCAAUGACAAUGCAAAUUGUAAAAAAAUAAAAGUUAGCAUUGUACAAGCGCUCUUGCUUGCAUGUGGGAAAGAGACAGGGGUGAGGGGUGGAGUAUUUAACUAAAAAGAGGCCAAUCAUCAAAUUAUAGUAUUUAAUGUAUGUGAUUAGUUUAUAAUUGUAAAAAAAUAU